rnacentral:piRNA from 1 species
UGGGAACGAGAAGACACUCUUGGAGGAGUC